rnacentral:lncRNA from 1 species
ACAAGAAACAACAUUUUGAACAACAAAUAAGGUAGCUAAUUAAAAUAUCCUUAAAUAAAUUUUAUAUUGUGAGCAUUGCUGCUUGAGGUAUGAUAGUAAUUACAAAACUCAGAUCAGCAUUUCUAAAAAUAUAUUCUCCUAGUGUAGUAAAUUGAUGAGAAAGUCAUACUGCUUUAGUGGUCUGCAGAAUAUAUGUGUUCAUAUAUAAUAAAUUUAGUUGCCUAAUGUGAAAGUUGCUGAUAGAGAGUUAACUAAGUGUUUGUAGUAAUAAAAAUCACUAUUAGGUGAGGAGUAGCAGGAAACUCUUCUAUGUAAUAUGUGAAAUACUGUUUAGGUAUUCUCUCUCUUAUGCUAAGCAACCACCACGGUCACAGUUUAUUCCAGCCUAAACUGGAAGUCUUCCAGAGAACAUUAAUGCUUGUAUUAAUGUAAAUUUUGCUUGCUAACAUUUUUCUCUGUGACAGUUUCAUAUUCAAAAUUGUAUAUGCAUGGCCCUCUAUGCAUAUAAUUUUAUGAUUAUGUUAUAAAGUGUAAUGAUUGUAAUUUUAUACCUGGAAAAGUCAUCAGUGAUGCUAAUAACUUUAAUAAAUUAAAUCAUUAAUAUUAAUUAUUCAAAGGCAUACAGAAUACAUUGAUUCAGAACACCUGGGUUUAGAAUUCUGUCAGCUUCAUUAGAGAUGAUCUCCUUUUCAUUUGCUUUAUCACCACUAAUCUAAGAAAAAAAAUAAAUCCUAAUCUCAUUAAAAAAUUAUGAAAUAUAGUAUAUAUGGGGGUGGUGUUUUUGCCUGGAGCUAAAAAUCAAAGGCAUGCUCUUAGCAAACUUAAAGGAUGUACAGAUAACUGAUAAAAAACAUAAAUCAAAACUUUAGUUAAUGGUAAAUUGUUGUAAAUAUUAGCUCUGAGUGUUCUGGCUAAAUAUGGAUUUACUAUAUGUAAUUACAUAUUUGUGAAAAUAGUUUAUUAGGACUCAAUCCCCAAUUAAAAUAUCAGAAAACAAUAAUUUUACCUGUUUUAAAAACUAUUCUAUCCUCAGAGACUAACAAAGGGCCUGAUACACUGUACUUACUCAAUAUUUAUUAAGUAAAAUGAUAUGAAAAUAUAUAUAAAUUUUACUGGGCCAUUAUAUUGUAUUAAAUACAAGUGUUUUCAGUAUCUUAAUUUGAAAUUCUGAUCCAAUAUUACAGAUGAAAAAAUUGAGCUUAGUGAUGUAAAGCCGUAUUUCCAAGAUCAAACAAGUGGCUGAGCCUGCAUUCAAUAAAAAUUUUGAGUAAAAUAAUAGUAAUAAUUUAUACCGUGAUAAUAAUAGUAGCUAAAACAUAGUGCUUACUAAGUGCCAGACCUUUUCUAAGCCCUUACCCAUAUCAAUGCUUUUAAUCUAUCUCAGAGGGUGUUAUAACCCUCUGAGAUAGAUGUCCUAUAACACUUAUUUUACCAGAAGAGAAAAUGAGGCAUAGGGAGCAGUUAUGGUAAGUAACCUCCACGUAGUCACUCAGGUAGGGAGUUGAAGAGCUAGGACUGUAAAGCCAGUCUGCCUUGAGUGUCUUUCUUUUAGACAUUAAACUUCACAGUUUUUCAGGGUGGACCAUUUUGGUUUAUGAAACAGCCUGGUCCCUGUGUGAAUCUACUCUAAAGAAUUACUGGUCGUGGAGUAAAUAAAAUACUCUAGAAUUGCAGAUCCAUUUAUCCAGCAAACAUUUGUGAAGUUUAAACCACAUGAUGAGAUUGGGAUAUGCAGACCACAAAUUUUACCGAAAUUCAGGGUCCCACAGGAAAUUUUUGUUAUGUAUUUAAUGUUAGGUAAUGUUUCUAAAGUAGCAGAGUAGAGUGAAAUGAAGACCAAGCUGUAAGAAAAACUGUCUUAGUUUCUAAUCCCUAUGUGCAGUAUCAAUAGCCAUUGAAUAGUCAUUUAGUUAAUCUGAACCUCAGACUCUUUAUGUGUUAAAUAGAGAUUAUAAACUGCUGAUUUGUUUGCUUAAUGAGCUAUUAGAAUGGUUGAUUGAUGCAGUGUUUGUGGAAAAGGCUCUGUACAACAUAACGCUAUGCAAAUUUUCAGUAACAUUUUAAUUAUUAAUUUACAGUUGGUCACCAAUGUUCAAAGAAAUCUAGUCUCACAGGAAUCCACUAGCCCAGCAACUGAUGGUACGCUCUUCUACUUUCUGUAACUCAUCAGAUAGUAAAAAAUCCAUCUUUUCUUCGCUUCUAAACCAUGUAUUGGUGUUGGAAGAAUUAAAUGUGCGUGAAACACUCCUGGCCUGGUAAACAAUUGCACAGGGUUUUGCUGUCUACAUAUCUUUGCUAGGUUCUGAUGUGAGGAAAUGCUACAUAAUGGGGAGAUCAGUGGGUAUACAGUUCCUUUAGUUUCUCUUUUGGAUACAUUUUCAUUCUGUUAAUUUCUUCUUCAUUUUGCUUUCUCCAUAUCCUUUUUCUUUCCUUGCUUUGGUGUGUUUUGAAUAAGAAUCUGGAAUUUGUCUCAUGAAAGCUGAGUUGACCCAAAACUUGUGUGUUUUAUCUCUACUUCAUUUAUUUAGCUAUUCAUGGAACAUUGGCUAUGUACUUGGCUCUUUGUUAUGUGUAGGGGUAAAGAUAUGAAUAUUUAAUGUAACUUUGUAAACAACAAAAGUAGAAUCAAUCCUCAUGGUUGACUCUACCUGUGCAGGAAAAGAGUAAGAAAGGCUUUACCUGGAGGUGGAGCUUGAGCUUGCUUUGGAAGAUGAUGAACUGUUCCUCAGUUGGAAGAGUUCUAGGGAGUAGAAAUAACCAUCCCUAGGGGAGGUUAUAAAACCUUUUGGUGUAUUCAGAGCAAGUGGUUCCCAACAGAUAGAGAAAGGUAAAACUCAACCAAAAAUUAAGUUGGAAAUUAAGCAAGGGCAUGACUAUGAAGACAUGAAGACUCGGGACAUGGGACAUUACUCCCUCCCCUGUCUUCAUCUUUACUGUGUUGAUCUGUUCAUCUGUGGUCUUCACGUCUAAAAUUUGACAGAAUUUUGAAGAAAUUCAAAUUUUUUUCUUUUUCCUUUUUUUUAAGGGCCACACUCAUGGCAUAUGGAGGUUCCCGGGGUAGGGGUCGAAUUGAAGCUGUAGCUGCUGGUCUACGCCACAACCACCCCAACACAGGAUCUGAGCCACAUCUGCAAUUUACACCACAAUUCCUGGCAACACUGGAUCCUUAACCCACUGAGCAAGGCCAGGGAUUGAACCUGUGUCCUCAUGGAUGCUAGUCAGAAUUGUUAACUGCUGAGCCAUGACAGGAACUCCAGAAAUUUUGAAGAAAGCAAUACAUUUUGUUUUUUCUAUUACCACUAAAAAUAAGUGUGACAUUCAUAUAGUAAAAAAAAUAGUAAAAACUGCUGGCAGCUGUACUUAUCCUUUGACUAAAGUAUUUCUUAAUGUUUGCACAUUUUUUUACAAUUUCACCUACAUCGUAAAACUAGUU